ACAUGCAAUAACACUGAUUGAUUUCAAAGGAAUGUGGAGCUAUGAGAUAUCUUUCAAGUUAAUUAUUUGCAACAACUCAGUACUUGACAUAUAUUAUCAAAAGAAUUCUUUUUAGAAU